GGGUGCUCGAGUGGCGAACGGGUGAGUAACACGUGAGUAACCUGCCCUUGACUUUGGGAUAACUUCAGGAAACUGGGGCUAAUACCGGGUAGGAGCUCCUGCUGCAUGGUGGGGGUUGGAAAGUUUCGGCGGUUGGGGAUGGACUCGCGGCUUAUCAGCUUGUUGGUGGGGUAGUGGCUUACCAAGGCUUUGACGGGUAGCCGGCCUGAGAGGGUGACCGGCCACAUUGGGACUGAGAUACGGCCCAG
rnacentral:rRNA from 1 species